rnacentral:lncRNA from 1 species
GAGAGAGAGAGAGAGAGAGAGAGAGAGAGAGAGAGAGAGAGAGAGAGAGAGAGCUGUGAACCACAGGCAUGUGUGUAACUUUAAUCAGUGGUUCUCUGUGGAAGUGAGGCAGACGUUAUGCUAUUGUGACUGGGGAGAUGGCUCAGCAUGAACAGCACUGGCUGUGCCAGCUUAAGGAACCAGGUCUGGAUUUCCAUAACUAAUGGCAAAGCUGGAUGUAGGCAGCAUGAGGCCCUAAAAUCUCAGCACAGCUAGACUAAGGGAGCAGGCAGAGACGGGAGAAUUCCCUGAAGUUCCGGCUCUGGCCUACACAGAGGGGAACAACAGAUCUCAUCUCAAACAAGACCUUUCAUUUUCUGAGCCUGUUCUUCCCAGGAUCUGUUGCUGAUGACAAUACCAGGAGAGCAGAGUAAGUGCAUAUCCAUUGUGACUGGGCAGUGGCGAAUCUAAGAAGCGGUGCGACAGAGCUGUCAAACAAAGAAAGAACACAGAAGUCUGGAGAAGAGAAGUGGUGUCAGUGGAUGAGCAGAGAAUGAUGCCAUUGCACCCCUGCCAUUGUGUGUAGACCUUAGGUAAGGAUCUGAGCUGUGGGACACACUUUGAGUUUGUGAUAAAGACUAUAACUUCCAUAGGUGCUAGCAAAAGGCCCAUAUGCACACAAGUUACACAUCAGUGUCAUAGGCCAGAGUGAGCAAAUAGAAGGGGGCCACAAGAACCCAAGUAAGAGUACCGGAUGGAUCCAGUGUCCAGGCUGGGCUAGCCUCUGGAAACACGUGCAUCCAUGCCUUCCUACCUCAGCCCAGGAGACCUCCACUACAGUGUUAAUAAGUUUCUGUUUUCUAAAGCCUGCUGGGUGCAUAUAGCAGCAAGCUAUGGGUGCUUCUUCAUCUCUUUCAGCCUUUAUGGCUAUGCUGUUAUGUGUUUACAUGUGUGCAAAUCUAAGAAAGAUUUUCCAAGA